rnacentral:rRNA from 1 species
UACGAAGGGUGCAAGCGUUACUCGGAAUUAUUGGGCGUAAAGAGCUCGUAGGCGGUCCGUCACGUCGCUGUGAAAACCUGGGGCUCAACCCCGGGCCUGCAGCCGAUACGGGCGGACUAGAAUUCGGUAGGGGAGACUGGAAUUCCUGGUGUAGCGGUGAAAUGCGCAGAUAUCAGGAGGAACACCGGUGGCGAAAGGCGGGGUCUCCUGGGGCCGAUAUUGACGCUGAGGAGCGAAAGCGUGGGGAGCGAACAG